GAUGAACGCUGGCGGCGUGCUUAACACAUGCAAGUCGAGCGAUGAAGUUUCCUUCGGGAAACGGAUUAGCGGCGGACGGGUGAGUAACACGUGGGUAACCUGCCUCAUAGAGUGGAAUAGCCUUCCGAAAGGAAGAUUAAUACCGCAUAACGUUGAAAGAUGGCAUCAUCAUUCAACCAAAGGAGCAAUCCGCUAUGAGAUGGACCCGCGGCGGAUUAGCUAGUUGGUGGGGUAACGGCCUACCAAGGCGACGAUGCGUAGCAGACCUGAGAGGGUGAUCGGCCACAUUGGGACUGAGACACGGCCCAGACUCCUCCGGGAGGCAGCAGUGGGGAAUAUUGCACAAUGGGGGAAACCCUGAUGCAGCAACGCCGCGUGUGUGAUGAAGGUUUUCGGAUCGUAAAGCUCUGUCUUUGGGGAAGAUAAUGACGGUACUCAAGGAGGAAGCCACGGCUAACUACGUGCCAGCCGCCGCCGUAA
rnacentral:rRNA from 1 species